rnacentral:rRNA from 1 species
UGGGGAAUAUUGGACAAUGGGCGCAAGCUUGAUCCAGCCAUGCCGCGUGAGUGAUGAAGGCCCUAGGGUUGUAAAGCUCUUUCACCGGUGAAGAUAAUGACGGUAACCGGAGAAGAAGCCCCGGCUAACUUCGUGCCAGCAGCCGCGGUAAUACGAAGGGGGCUAGCGUUGUUCGGAUUUACUGGGCGUAAAGCGCACGUAGGCGGACUAUUAAGUCAGGGGUGAAAUCCCGGGGCUCAACCCCGGAACUGCCUUUGAUACUGGUAGUCUUGAGUUCGAGAGAGGUGAGUGGAAUUCCGAGUGUAGAGGUGAAAUUCGUAGAUAUUCGGAGGAACACCAGUGGCGAAGGCGGCUCACUGGCUCGAUACUGACGCUGAGGUGCGAAAGCGUGGGGAGCAAACAGG